rnacentral:rRNA from 1 species
GAUGAACGCUGGCGGCGUGCCUAAUACAUGCAAGUCGAGCGAACAGAUGAGGAGCUUGCUCCUUUGACGUUAGCGGCGGACGGGUGAGUAACACGUGGGUAACCUACCUAUAAGACUGGGAUAACUCCGGGAAACCGGGGCUAAUGCCGGAUAAUAUUUAGAACCGCAUGGUUCUAAAGUGAAAGAUGGUUUUGCUAUCACUUAUAGAUGGAUCCGCGCCGUAUUAGCUAGUUGGUAAGGUAACGGCUUACCAAGGCAACGAUACAUAGCCGACCUGAGAGGGUGAUCGGCCACACUGGAACUGAGACACGGUCCAGACUCCUACGGGAGGCAGCAGUAGGGAAUCUUCCGCAAUGGGCGAAAGCCUGACGGAGCAACGCCGCGUGAGUGAUGAAGGUCUUCGGAUCGUAAAACUCUGUUAUUAGGGAAGAACAAAUGUGUAAGUAACUGUGCACGUCUUGACGGUACCUAAUCAGAAAGCCACGGCUAACUACGUG